ACGCUCGACACCUACGGGGGGCAGCAGUGGGGAAUAUUGGGCAAUGGGCGAAAGCCUGACCCAGCAACGCCGCGUGAGGGAAGAAGGUUUUUCGGAUUGUAAACCUCUGUCCUCAGGGACGAAGGACGUGACGGUACCUGAGGAGGAAGCCCCGGCUAACUACGUGCCCGCAGCCGCGGUAAUCUGAGCGGGCUGGCAAGGC
rnacentral:rRNA from 1 species